rnacentral:rRNA from 1 species
AUGAACGCUGGCGGCGUGCCUAACACAUGCCAGGCGAACGAAGCACCUUACCUGAUUCUUCGGAUGAAAGUUUGGUGACUGAGUUGCGGACGGGGGAGUAACGCGUGAGUAACCUGCCCUGUACAGGGGGAGAACAUCUUGAAACGGCUGCUAAUACCGCAUAAGCGCACGAGGAGACAUCUCCUUGUGUUAAAAACUCCGUUGGUACAGGAUGGGCCCUCGUCUGAUUAGCUGGUUAGCAGGGUAAAGGCCUACCAAGGCAACGAUCAGUAGCCGGUCUGAGAGACUGAGCGGACACAUUGGAACUGAGCCACGGUCCAAAAUACUACGGGAUGCAGCAGUGGGGAAUAUUGCCAAGUGGCGGAAACCAUGAUGCACCAACGCCGCGUGAGUGAAGAAGUAUUUCGGUAUGUAAAGCUCUAUAAGCAGGGAAGAUAAUGACGGUACCUGAAGAAGAAGCUCCGGCUAACUACGUG